rnacentral:rRNA from 1 species
GACGGAGGGUGCGAGCGUUGUUCGGAUUGACUGGGCGUAAAGGGCGUGUAGGCGGUCGGCCAAGUCUGGUGUGAAAGCCCGGGGCUUAGCUCCGGAAGUGCGCCGGAAACUAGCUGGCUGGAGCGCGGUAGAGGAGUGUGGAAUUCCUGGUGUAGCGGUGAAAUGCGUAGAUAUCGGGAGGAACACCAAUGGCGAAGGCAGCUUGCUGGGCCACUCCUGACACUGAGGUACGAAAGCGUGGGGAGCGAACAGG